UACGUAGGGUCCGAGCGUUGUCCGGAAUUACUGGGCGUAAAGAGCUCGUAGGUGGUUUGUCGCGUUGUUCGUGAAAACUCACAGCUCAACUGUGGGCGUGCGGGCGAUACGGGCAGACUAGAGUACUGCAGGGGAGACUGGAAUUCCUGGUGUAGCGGUGGAAUGCGCAGAUAUCAGGAGGAACACCGGUGGCGAAGGCGGGGAUCUCUGGGCAGUAACUGACACUCGAACUACGAAAAGCCGUGGGGAGCAAAACAGGG
rnacentral:rRNA from 1 species